rnacentral:rRNA from 1 species
UACGAAGGGGGCUAGCGUUGCUCGGAAUCACUGGGCGUAAAGGGUGCGUAGGCGGGUCUUUAAGUCAGGGGUGAAAUCCUGGAGCUCAACUCCAGAACUGCCUUUGAUACUGAAGAUCUUGAGUUCGGGAGAGGUGAGUGGAACUGCGAGUGUAGAGGUGAAAUUCGUAGAUAUUCGUCAAGAACACCAGUGGCGAAGGCGGCUCACUGGCCCGAUACUGACGCUGAGGCACGAAGCGUG